AUCUCCCAAAGAGAAAGAAAUUAUGUCCUAUCAGUGUAUAUCUAGAGGAAUCAAUAAUAUGAGUUUUGGUGAAAACAACUUAAAUGAAAAAGAACUUAAAUGUAAACAACUUAUUUGCAAAAUCACUUAAAUUCCAAUUGAGGCAAACAUGACCUAGGAUUAUGGUUCUCACUUUAACAAAUUUGUAUAAUCCAAGUCACUUUUAUUAGAG
rnacentral:lncRNA from 1 species